GGGUUGUGAGGUUAAGCGACUAAGCGUACACGGUGGAUGCCCUGGCAGUCAGAGGCGAUGAAGGGCGUGCUAAUCUGCGAUAAGCGCCGGUAAGGUGAUAUGAACCGUUAUAACCGGCGAUACCCGAAUGGGGAAACCCAGUGUGACUCGUCACACUAUCAUUAACUGAAUCCAUAGGUUAAUGAGGCGAACCGGGGGAACUGAAACAUCUAAGUACCCCGAGGAAAAGAAAUCAACCGAGAUUCCCCCAGUAGCGGCGAGCGAACGGGGAGGAGCCCAGAGCCUGAAUCAGCAUGUGUGUUAGUGGAAGCGUCUGGAAAGGCGCGCGAUACAGGGUGACAGCCCCGUACACAAAAGCGCAUGUGCUGUGAGCUCGAUGAGUAGGGCGGGACACGUGGUAUCCUGUCUGAAUAUGGGGGGACCAUCCUCCAAGGCUAAAUACUCCUGACUGACCGAUAGUGAACCAGUACCGUGAGGGAAAGGCGAAAAGAACCCCGGCGAGGGGAGUGAAAAAGAACCUGAAACCGUGUACGUACAAGCAGUGGGAGCACCCUUUGGGGUGUGACUGCGUACCUUUUGUAUAAUGGGUCAGCGACUUAUAUUCUGUAGCAAGGUUAACCGUAUAGGGGAGCCGCAGGGAAACCGAGUCUUAACCGGGCGUUAAGUUGCAGGGUAUAGACCCGAAACCCGGUGAUCUAGCCAUGGGCAGGUUGAAGGUUGGGUAACACUAACUGGAGGACCGAACCGACUAAUGUUGAAAAAUUAGCGGAUGACCUGUGGCUGGGGGUGAAAGGCCAAUCAAACCGGGAGAUAGCUGGUUCUCCCCGAAAGCUAUUUAGGUAGCGCCUCGUGAAUUCAUCUCCGGGGGUAGAGCACUGUUUCGGCUAGGGGGCCAUCCCGGCUUACCAACCCGAUGCAAACUGCGAAUACCGGAGAAUGUUAUCACGGGAGACACACGGCGGGUGCUAACGUCCGUCGUGAAGAGGGAAACAACCCAGACCGCCAGCUAAGGUCCCAAAGUCAUGGUUAAGUGGGAAACGAUGUGGGAAGGCCCAGACAGCCAGGAUGUUGGCUUAGAAGCAGCCAUCAUUUAAAGAAAGCGUAAUAGCUCACUGGUCGAGUCGGCCUGCGCGGAAGAUGUAACGGGGCUAAACCAUGCACCGAAGCUGCGGCAGCGACGCUGAUGCGUUGUUGGGUAGGGGAGCGUUCUGUAAGCCUGCGAAGGUGGCCUGUGAGGGUUGCUGGAGGUAUCAGAAGUGCGAAUGCUGACAUAAGUAACGAUAAAGCGGGUGAAAAGCCCGCUCGCCGGAAGACCAAGGGUUCCUGUCCAACGUUAAUCGGGGCAGGGUGAGUCGACCCCUAAGGCGAGGCCGAAAGGCGUAGUCGAUGGGAAACGGGUUAAUAUUCCCGUACUUGGUGUUACUGCGAAGGGGGGACGGAGAAGGCUAUGUUGGCCGGGCGACGGUUGUCCCGGUUUAAGCGUGUAGGUGUGUGUUCCAGGUAAAUCCGGUUCACUUUAACACUGAGGCGUGACGACGAGGCACUACGGUGCUGAAGCAACAAAUGCCCUGCUUCCAGGAAAAGCCUCUAAGCAUCAGGUAACAUCAAAUCGUACCCCAAACCGACACAGGUGGUCAGGUAGAGAAUACCAAGGCGCUUGAGAGAACUCGGGUGAAGGAACUAGGCAAAAUGGUGCCGUAACUUCGGGAGAAGGCACGCUGACACGUAGGUGAAGUGAUUUACUCAUGGAGCUGAAGUCAGUCGAAGAUACCAGCUGGCUGCAACUGUUUAUUAAAAACACAGCACUGUGCAAACACGAAAGUGGACGUAUACGGUGUGACGCCUGCCCGGUGCCGGAAGGUUAAUUGAUGGGGUCAGCGCAAGCGAAGCUCCUGAUCGAAGCCCCGGUAAACGGCGGCCGUAACUAUAACGGUCCUAAGGUAGCGAAAUUCCUUGUCGGGUAAGUUCCGACCUGCACGAAUGGCGUAAUGAUGGCCAGGCUGUCUCCACCCGAGACUCAGUGAAAUUGAACUCGCUGUGAAGAUGCAGUGUACCCGCGGCAAGACGGAAAGACCCCGUGAACCUUUACUAUAGCUUGACACUGAACAUUGAGCCUUGAUGUGUAGGAUAGGUGGGAGGCUUUGAAGCGUGGACGCCAGUCUGCGUGGAGCCGACCUUGAAAUACCACCCUUUAAUGUUUGAUGUUCUAACGUGGACCCGUUACCCGGGUUGCGGACAGUGUCUGGUGGGUAGUUUGACUGGGGCGGUCUCCUCCUAAAGAGUAACGGAGGAGCACGAAGGUUGGCUAAUCCUGGUCGGACAUCAGGAGGUUAGUGCAAUGGCAUAAGCCAGCUUGACUGCGAGCGUGACGGCGCGAGCAGGUGCGAAAGCAGGUCAUAGUGAUCCGGUGGUUCUGAAUGGAAGGGCCAUCGCUCAACGGAUAAAAGGUACUCCGGGGAUAACAGGCUGAUACCGCCCAAGAGUUCAUAUCGACGGCGGUGUUUGGCACCUCGAUGUCGGCUCAUCACAUCCUGGGGCUGAAGUAGGUCCCAAGGGUAUGGCUGUUCGCCAUUUAAAGUGGUACGCGAGCUGGGUUUAGAACGUCGUGAGACAGUUCGGUCCCUAUCUGCCGUGGGCGCUGGAGAACUGAGGGGGGCUGCUCCUAGUACGAGAGGACCGGAGUGGACGCAUCACUGGUGUUCGGGUUGUCAUGCCAAUGGCACUGCCCGGUAGCUAAAUGCGGAAGAGAUAAGUGCUGAAAGCAUCUAAGCACGAAACUUGCCCCGAGAUGAGUUCUCCCUGAGACUUAGAGUCUCCUGAAGGAACGUUGAAGACGACGACGUUGAUAGGCCGGGUGUGUAAGCGCAGCGAUGCGUUGAGCUAACCGGUACUAAUGAACCGUGAGGCUUAACCUUACAACGCCGAAG
rnacentral:rRNA from 1 species